UACGUAGGGUCCGAGCGUUGUCCGGAAUUAUUGGGCGUAAAGAGCUCGUAGGCGGUUUGUCGCGUCUGCUGUGAAAACCUAAGGCUCAACCUUGGGCUUGCAGUGGGUACGGGCAGACUAGAGUGCGGUAGGGGUGACUGGAAUUCCUGGUGUAGCGGUGGAAUGCGCAGAUAUCAGGAGGAACACCGAUGGCGAAGGCAGGUCACUGGGCCGCAACUGACGCUGAGGAGCGAAAGCGUGGGGAGCGAACAGG
rnacentral:rRNA from 1 species